CCCAUCCAUACUUAGUACGGCGAGUGAAGCGGUAAAAGCUCAAAUUUGAAAUCUGGUACUUUCAGUGCCCGAGUUGUAAUUUGUAGAAUUUGUCUUUGAUUAGGUCCUUGUCUAUGUUCCUUGGAACAGGACGUCAUAGAGGGUGAGAAUCCCGUUUGGCGAGGAUACCUUUUCUCUGUAAGACUUUUUCGAAGAGUCGAGUUGUUUGGGAAUGCAGCUCAAAGUGGGUGGUAAAUUCCAUCUAAAGCUAAAUAUUGGCGAGAGACCGAUAGCGAACAAGUACAGUGAUGGAAAGAUGAAAAGAACUUUGAAAAGAGAGUGAAAAAGUACGUGAAAUUGUUGAAAGGGAAGGGCAUUUGAUCAGACAUGGUGUUUUUUGCAUGCACUCGCCUCUCGUGGGCUUGGGCCUCUCAAAAAUUUCACUGGGCCAACAUCAAUUCUGGCAGUAGGAUAAAUCAUUAAGAAUGUAGCUACCUCGGUAGUGUUAUAGCUUAUUGGAAUACUGCUAGCUGGGAUUGAGGACUGCGCUUCGGCAAGGAUGUUGGCAUAAUGGUUAAAUGCCGCCCGUCUUGACC
rnacentral:rRNA from 1 species